UCAUGUGGGAAUCUUGUUAAAAUGCAUAUUCCCACUUAGUUGGUUGGAUAUGGGGCCUGAGAUUCUGCAUUUCUAGCAAGUUCUCAGGUGAUUCCAGU
rnacentral:miRNA from 1 species